rfam:Conidiobolus obscurus small subunit ribosomal RNA gene, partial sequence.
UUCUGGUUGAUUCUGCCAGUAGUCAUAUGCUCGUCUUUAAGAUUAAGCCAUGCAAGUCUAAGAUCAGGAAGGUUUACCUUCGAAUCUGCGGAUGGCUCAUUAAACCAGUGUUAAUCUAUCAGAUUAACAUAGACGGAUACCCCAGGCAAAUCUUGGACUAAUACGCGCAACAUAACAGCUCUGACUUUCAUGGAAGGAGUGUGCUUACAAGUCCAAAACCAUCGCUUGAAACUUGUUUCUUGCUUUGAAAUUGAAGAAAUGUAACUUCACUGAUCGUAGCACGUCACUACGACAUGUCUGACAAGACACUGACCCAUCAACUUGAUAUUUGGCUAUAGCCCAGAUAUGGUUACAACGGGUAACGGGGAAUGAAGGUUCGAUUCCGGAGAGGCAGCCUGAGAAACGGCUACCGGUCCUAAGGGAGACAGCAGGCGCGAAAAUUACCCAAUGCUGACCUAGUGAGGUAGUGACGAUAAAUAACAAUCCGAGUAUUUUUAAUAUUUGGAAUUGGAAUGAGAAAACAUUAAAUCACUUAACGAAAUCAAUUGGAGGGCAAGUCUGGUGCCAGCAGCCGCGGUAAUUCCAGCUCCAAUAGCGUAUAUUUAAAUUGCUGCAGUUAAAACGCCCGUAGUCAAACUUCUUGGGGCAAGGUGGCAGAGUCAGUUCAACUGUCUAUAUGGCAAACUUCCACUCUUAUUAAACCCCCCAUACAGCAGUUAAGUCUUUUAGCUCCGGGAUGAUAAACACCGUCAACAACUCGGCAGUACCAUCUAACUAGCACCUCUCUAUUCAGUAGGUGUGGCUAUUAGACGUUUACCUUGAUUUAAUCAAAGCGUUCAAAGCAGGCAAUAACAGCCCGAAUGUAUAAGCAUGGAAUAAUAAAAGAUGACCUUUGGUCCUUUUGUUGGUUUUAAGACCAUCGGUAAUGAUGAAAGGAGUAGGUUCGGGGCAUUAGUAUUUACUCGCUAGAGGUGAAAUUCUUGGAUUGAGUAAAGACUAUCUACAGCGAAAGCAUUUGCCAGGGACCUACUUGUCGAUCAAGGACGAAAGUUGGGGGAUCGAAGAUGAUUAGAUACCGUCGUAGUCCCAACAGUAAAUGUUGCCAACUCUGAGUCGGUGAACUUACAUAAUCAUCAUCUCCCCCGAGAAAUCGCAAGUUUUUGGGUUCCGGGGGGAGUAUGGUCGCAAGGCUGAAACUUAAAGGAAUUGACGGAAGGGCACCACAAGGAGUGGAGCUUGCGGCUUAAUUUGACUCAACACGGGACAACUUACCUAGUCCAGACAUAGUGAGGAUUGACAGAUUAAAGGAUCUUUCUUGAUUCUAUGGGUGGUGGUGCAUGGCCGUUCUUAGUUCGUGGACUGAUCUGUCUAGUUAAUUCUGAUAACGAGCGAGACCCUCGUCUAUUAAUUAGGGUUGCGUACCUUGUGGUAUGAUUCAUCCUUCUUAGAGAGACACUUGAUGGUUUUUAUAAUCAAUGGAAGUUGAAGGCAAUAACAGGUCUGUGAUGCCCUUAGAUGUCUAGGGCAGCACGCGUGCUACACUGAUAGUUACAACGAGUAUUUGGCAUUUAUGUCAUAGCCUGUACCGUAAGGUCUGGGGAAACCCUUAAUUGCUAUCGUGCUGGGGAUAGUCUAUUGCAAUUCUUGGACUUGAACGAGGAAUUCCUAGUAAUCGUAUAUCAUCAGUAUACGUUGAUUACGUCCCUGCCCUUUGUACACACCGCCCGUCGCUACUACCGAUUGAAUGGGUUAAUGAGGAUUUCGGAAUGACGAAGCUACAACUUCCAUGGGGUCUGUCUUAAUUGGGUACCUGUCAAAAGAAGUUAUCCGAAUUUGCACAUUUAGAGGAAGUAAAAGUCGUAACAAGGUUUCCGUAGGUGAACCUGCGGAAGGAUCAUUA